GACGAACCGUGCGAACGUUAUUCGGAAUCACUGGGCUUAAAGCGCGUGUAGGCGGGGUGGCACGUCGGUCGCUGAAAGCCCCCGGCUCAACCGGGGAAGGGGCGCCGAUACGACCACCCUGGAGGGACGCAGGGGGACCUGGAACUUCCGGUGGAGCGGUGAAAUGCGCAGAUAUCAGGAGGAACACCGGUGGCGAAGGCGGGUCUCUGGGCCGAUACUGACGCUGAGGAGCGAAAGCAUGGGUAGCGAACAGG
rnacentral:rRNA from 1 species